rnacentral:rRNA from 1 species
UCUGCCCUUCACUCUGGGACAAGCCCUGGAAACGGGGUCUAAUACCGGAUACCACUUCGUCCCGCAUGGGACGGGGUUGAAAGCUCCGGCGGUGAAGGAUGAGCCCGCGGCCUAUCAGCUUGUUGGUGGGGUAAUGGCCUACCAAGGCGACGACGGGUAGCCGGCCUGAGAGGGCGACCGGCCACACUGGGACUGAGACACGGCCCAGACUCCUACGGGAGGCAGCAGUGGGGAAUAUUGCACAAUGGGCGAAAGCCUGAUGCAGCGACGCCGCGUGAGGGAUGACGGCCUUCGGGUUGUAAACCUCUUUCAGCAGGGAAGAAGCGCAAGUGACGGUACCUGCAGAAGAAGCGCCGGCUAACUACGUGCCAGCAGCCGCGGUAAUACGUAGGGCGCAAGCGUUGUCCGGAAUUAUUGGGCGUAAAGAGCUCGUAGGCGGCUUGUCACGUCGGAUGUGAAAGCCCGGGGCUUAACCCCGGGUCUGCAUUCGAUACGGGCUAGCUAGAGUGUGGUAGGGGAGAUCGGAAUUCCUGGUGUAGCGGUGAAAUGCGCAGAUAUCAGGAGGAACACCGGUGGCGAAGGCGGAUCUCUGGGCCAUUACUGACGCUGAGGAGCGAAAGCGUGGGGAGCGAACAGGAUUAGAUACCCUGGUAGUCCACGCCGUAAACGUUGGGAACUAGGUGUUGGCGACAUUCCACGUCGUCGGUGCCGCAGCUAACGCAUUAAGUUCCCCGCCUGGGGAGUACGGCCGCAAGGC